GAUGAAGAACGCAGCGAAAUGCGAUAAGUAGUGUGAAUUGCAGAAUUCAGUGAAUCAUCGAAUCUUUGAACGCACAUUGCGCCCUUUGGUAUUCCAAAGGGCAUGCCUGUUCGAGCGUCAUUUGUACCCUCAAGCUUUGCUUGGUGUUGGGCGUCUUGUCUCUAGCUUUGCUGGAGACUCGCCUUAAAGUAAUUGGCAGCCGGCCUACUGGUUUCGGAGCGCAGCACAAGUCGCACUCUCUAUCAGCAAAGGUCUAGCAUCCAUUAAGCCUUUUUUUCAACUUUUGACCUCGGAUCAGGUAGGGAUACCCGCUGAACUUAAGCAUAUCAAUAAGUGGAGGA
rnacentral:misc_RNA from 1 species